rnacentral:rRNA from 1 species
UACGUAGGGUGCAAGCGUUAAUCGGAAUUACUGGGCGUAAAGCGUGCGCAGGCGGUUGUUUAAGUCAGAUGUGAAAUCCCCGGGCUUAACCUGGGAACUGCAUUUGUGACUGCACAGCUGGAGUGCGGCAGAGGGGGGUGGAAUUCCGCGUGUAGCAGUGAAAUGCGUAGAUAUGCGGAGGAACACCGAUGGCGAAGGCAAUCCCCUGGGCCUGCACUGACGCUCAUGCACGAAAGCGUGGGGAGCAAACAGG